AACAGCCACAGCACAGACUGUGCAGAGCUGUGAUCUGACAGCCCCCAGAGGUACCUGCUUUGGGUCUGUGCAUCCAUGGGGCAGAGGACACCACUGGCCUCAUCAGCUGCAGCUGCAGAGGCACAUAAGGGCACUGUGUACUCUGUGACUAAAUCCCUGCAUCACAGACAGGAUCAGGCAGGUCUGAAAGCUCAUGGCAACAAAAAAAGAACAUUCCGUAACACAGACAUCAAAAUCAAAUUUACCUAUGACCUAAUCUGCAGGUUUACUGAAUUUGUAGAGGGGAUAACUUGUGCACACAGGAUGAGGACACAAGUCAGCUUUCCCCUUCCACAUCUGGACCUACCCCUUUGCUUGAGCAUGUGCUUAUGCAUGACAGCAACAACCACAUGCAAGGCUGAACUUCAAGAUAGUGACUUAAUGAAAAAGCACCACCAACAGAGACAGUGGUCAAAGAACUGCACAAGUUUCCAGGAAGGGGAACAUUUAUCAAAACAUACUGUAUGGUUAAUGAUAGUAUGCAUGGA
rnacentral:lncRNA from 12 species